rnacentral:rRNA from 1 species
CCUACGGGCGGCUGCAGUGGGGAAUAUUGGACAAUGGGGGCAACCCUGAUCCAGCCAUGCCGCGUGUGUGAAGAAGGCCCUCGGGUUGUAAAGCACUUUCAGUGAGGAAGAACGCCUGGUGGUUAAUACCCAUCAGGAAAGACAUCACUCACAGAAGAAGCACCGGCUAACUCCGUGCCAGCAGCCGCGGUAAUACGGAGGGUGCGAGCGUUAAUCGGAAUUACUGGGCGUAAAGCGCGCGUAGGUGGCUUGAUAAGCCGGUUGUGAAAGCCCCGGGCUCAACCUGGGAACGGCAUCCGGAACUGUCAAGCUAGAGUGCAGGAGAGGAAGGUAGAAUUCCCGGUGUAGCGGUGAAAUGCGUAGAGAUCGGGAGGAAUACCAGUGGCGAAGGCGGCCUUCUGGACUGACACUGACACUGAGGUGCGAAAGCGUGGGUAACAAACAGGAUUAGAUACCCUGGUAGUC